rnacentral:lncRNA from 1 species
UUUUUUUUUUUUUCGUUGGCCCCCCCCCCACCCCUCCCCCCCCGUCUUCCCCCCCCCCCCUUGGGGCCCACCUCCAUAUCUACGGCGAUGGCACUGUCCAAGGUCAUUCCUUUUCCUUUUUUUCGAAACUCUUUUCUUCUCUAGUAGUCUCAUCUCUUGGAAUCACACCUACCCAGUAGUUAAGUGUCAGGGUUAUGUAGACUUGGAACGUUUGACAGGAACCUGAGACGCUAAGCAGUCCACAGUACUAAUAGCGGAACGAAGAUCGUCGGAAAACCAGAGCAUAAUUUCAGUUUUGACAACUUUACAUAGCAUUUCAUCAAUUUUGAGCCAAGGAACCCGGCAACCCUUUCACAUUGCAGAGUAGUCGAACCUGACAAUCCUUUUCCAGUUUCACUAGACCAUUACAAGUCAACUAGGUGCAUCCAUCAUUACCUGUGAUUUUCCAAGUAGCUUGGUUGGUGACUAAUUAUGAUGAGGGUGAUGCAGCAAGUCCCUUUCAAUAAAGCCAACAGUCUUAUAAUAGCAACAUCUCCGUCAGAAAAAAUAACAGUUAGUAACUGGAACUGGAACUGGAACAAACAACAGGAGCUAGCGUAUAGAAUAAGAAUAGUCAGAGACUUUGUCGUUACCUACUUCUUUUUUGGCAACAUUUCUUAUCUGAACUCGUUUGUUAAGGUUACCAGAUUGAGUACAAAGUAGUUAAAUGCACCAGCUACAGUAGACAACGACUAGUUUUUAAUUUUAAGAGUUGUUUUUUUGGGACAGCGUAUUUUAUUGCUGGGACUGAUAUUGGCAAGUUCACAAUGAGAGCAGUUGAAGAUGCUCGCACUCUCAACAAAACCCUCCAUUUCCAACCAAAAUCAAAUCUUCUAAACAUCAACCAGCUUGCCGACAUUUGGGAAGCUCAACUCGGACGCGACCUUCCGCGAGUCACCAUCACCGAGGAUGACUUACUUUCCGCUGCCAGAGGUUCGUAUGUACAGCAACCAAGAUUACACACUUUCGUAGUUUUUCGAUGUGAUUUAAUAACCUCUUAACGUUCAUCAAAUUUGCAGAAAUGCGAAUCCCGCAGAGCAUUGUGGCGGCCCUAACCCACGAUAUUUUCAUAAACGGUUGCCAGGUCAACUACAACCUCAACCAGUCAACCGACGUUGAAGUCUGCUCCCUCUAUCCAGAUUUGUCUUUCCGAACCGUCGAUGACUGCUUUAAAGAGUUCUUAACGAGGGUCGAUGACGACGACGAUGAAGCAACGAAACAUACCAAGCCUCCUCCCUCCAGCAGCAGUAGCAAAGGCAGUAUCAUGUUGGCAAGUUCCAAGACAGAAGUUGUUUCCAUAACAGCAUAAGCCCCCCAUGAAGCCUCUAAAACCCUGCAGAGCAUUGUAAUAAGAAAAACAAACCUUUGUCUGGAUAUGUGUGAAAGCCUUUGUUGUUUGAUUUGUCUGGAAUUUCCUCUUUAUACCCAGUCGUAUUCAUGUCUGAGUCUGGAAAAUGAACCCAAAUCUGUCUCUGUAUCAAAGUUUCUUGUAUUGGAUUAUUAUUCCAUGUUUGUACUAUUGCAGCAAUAGAAAACUAAAUGCCACUAUUUUUUAUUUAAAGAAAGGUCAAUGCCACUAUUGAAUUUCAUAAAAUAUACCACAUACAGUUGAUCUAAAAUCUAUCUGACCAACCGAUCAGGUUCUCCAUUAUCAUAGAGUUAAUCCGAGUACGUUACAUAUAUUCUGGAUCAGACAUGCAGUAGCUGUGCACGAUACCAUCAUCUCAAAACUCUGACAAAUCAUACCAGUUGCUUACACAGAUCGACCGACUAUUCAGAAUUUACAACUAUCACUAGGCCGGAAUUCAUUUACAUAAAACAAAAAGGAAACACACACCUUGUUUGUUUGUUUGUUUGUCUUCAUAGAUAGAUAUGUUAACGAGUGAACACCAAAUCCAGAAAUGUUACUCCACCUUUCCCAGUUAGAGCAUAUCUUUCUGAUUACCUUCGGUAUACACAAUGAUGCUUAAAAGAGAGACUAU